GUCAGAAUGGCCGAGUGGUCUAAGGCGCCAGACUCAAGUUCUGGUCCUCGCAUGAGGGCGUGGGUUCGAACCCCACUUCUGACA
rnacentral:tRNA from 1 species